ACCCGCCAGCCCCGCGCUCUACCAGGCAGAGCGCGUGUGGCCGCCGAGCACAUGGACCCACUGGUCAAGCGGGCUCGGCAAGGCCAGGAUGAAGAGAAGCUACGAACUUAGCAUUCCCAGAGCCCCCCGAGUGGAUAUCCGCGUGGAAAGGAUGUUGGCAGCCCCGGUGACCUCGGAGUCACGGCUGGAUCCACCCUCUUAGAGCCGAGUUCUGUCACCACAGACAUUGGCAGUGGCACUUGCAUGCCCCUGGCAAGCAGUCUAUCCUGAGGUGGAGGAAGUUGCCCUUGAGUUCUGGCUGGUAACCAGCACAGGGGCUGGGACACUGCCUGAUUGAGGUGGCCAUUGAGAAUUCAAGUGUACCUCUUGGUCCCUGAUGCAGAAAUGAAGUCCCCAGCAUGCUCAAGAAGAGCUUCCUUGGAGGAUGAGAGGCAUGGGAAUCUAAGUAUACCCUUUAAGCGUUCCAGAAGGAUUUUGAGAUCCUUUCCUAAAUCAAAGGUGGAAUAUUUGGGGAUUUGGAAAAUUGAGAUGUGAAGCGUUGACUUAAGAGAUGCCAAGUAACUCAGCAGAUGUCACACAGACGAUAAAUAGCAAAGAUGGAAGUCUUCAUGCCGGAGGCAAUCCUAUAAGACAGCUGAGUUCUGCAGAGCUGGUAGGAGACAGACUUGCUCAGGUGAUAGAUCCAGCCAUGAUACUGACCCUAAGAGAAUGAGACGCUCUGCAGAAGACAGAAGAUUCCUGAAACUGGGAAAGGUGCCUAGAAAUCCUGAUAAGAGUGAAGAAGGAGCUGGCAGAGCAGCCUUCCUCCGCACUAUGAAAGACAUCCAACAGAGAGCAAGUUCCCACCUCACUUCCAGCUUGACUCCUUUUUAUCUCCUAACUGUGGUCUGUGAUGUCUUCAGCAAUGGUAUUAACUAGUUCUGGUGAGCAGCCAGUAGCAAUGCCAAGAGCUUCCUUAACAAGCAGCACAUAGUUAGUGAUAGAUCUCACAUCUGUCAUAGUGCUUUUAGCAACCCAUUGCUUUUAAAGCAGCAUUUUCGAGUCAUAGGGUACCUGGAGGCACAGCAGCCAUGUUGAACCUAUGAGGUGAUGAAAAACCAUGCAACUAGAAACCAGAAUGGAAGAAAAGAAGAAGCUGGAUCCUUGACUGAAUUGUCGAUGGGGGAUAGUCCAUCAUCCCAGGGCUAAGACCACCUCCAGAUUUCUUGUUUGGUGAAACAAGUCCUGAUUGUUUACAUUCCCUCGUGUUGAGCUGUCUCUUGCUUGUAGCUGAAAGCAUUUCUAAUAGAUAUUCAGAUUAUCAGCCUUAGCUCCAAGCUAGAAUACUCUAUGGGACCUUAGCUUCUCCAUGAAUUCCUUUGCUCAUCUGUGUAAUGCUCAAUAAAUGUAAAUUGAACCCUGAAUGAGGGACAAUGACA
rnacentral:lncRNA from 1 species